CCAAGCCAAACACCGGGUCAGCCCUCAAUUCUUGGCCGGUGGAGGCAUCACCUCGUUCGGCUUGCGCUUUAUACUUUCGACGAGGUGCAUAACUCCAGCCCAGAAACAAUACCCGAAUAGAUAGCCUACGUUUAUUGCUCUUUAGUCGCUUUCAUUAUAGUCUAGAGGUAGGCUAAAUCAAGUUAGUAGGCUAUACCGGUGAUUGAUUUUUUAAAGUAUGAAUUUAGCUCAGGAAAACGAAGAUUUCAAAUAGAUUCGUUGUGGUUCCAUUUCAUGUGAAGAUUAUGUUGUCAGUUUAGGUCAAUUUAUCUCAUAGCCAUUAUAUCUGGUUUCGUUUGUUUAGAAAUCCGCGUGCAGUUAUAGCUGUUGAAGUGUUGAUCGUGGUUUGGCCAAAAUAGCAUACAGUUAGUUCCCUCACUGGUUGUGCUUAAUGAUAUACUUACACAGACAAUGCUGAGACGGAAAGAGAGUCCACAGCCACCCGUACCUGAAUGGUGGGCUAUCGGACUCGAUUUAGUGAUUAUAUUUCAGGGCUGUCCAUUUCCGUGACUCGCUGCUGUUUUGUGAACGAUUCACAGCAAGGACAGCGACUAAUAAACCGGACAUUGCCACUUUAAAAACUGCCCCGGGCCAUUUGAAAAGCGCAGAGACAGAUGCUGCGUCGAGGCAAGAAGAAAAGAAAACAAAUGAAUUUGUUCAUUUGGGCAACAUCGACAGAUAUAUAACGCGCAUAAACUGCAACAUUUUCAGCAUAAACUGAAACAUAAACUGAAAUAUGUCUAUCCUCUGAGCGUGAGGACACAACAGCGUCCUGACUCGCCUGAACAGUUUGUUGGUUGAAAACACACAAUACUCCAUGCAGCUCCGGGAAUGUUCCUGCCUGCAGCCGGCCCUCUCCUCCCCGGCUUCCCAAACUUUGAUCAGCGAGGCCUAGCCGCGGAGCCGCUUGAGCCGUGCAGCAUGGUUUGCUGGCAGAGGAGGAUGGGUAUAAAUGGAGACUGUCACAGGAGAGGAGGGUAAAAACCAGGGGCAUGUUCAGGAGGCAACCUUUUGAAACAGAGUGAAACAGCUAAGGUGUGCCCUCCUUUAACAGGCCCCUGCCCCUGGUAGAGGUGCAAGCUGGGGCACUGGCCUGGGCAUGGUUCCCUCAGACUCAGAGAGACAUUGGCAUGCAGGGCAUCAUGUCACAGUGUGGGGCACCAGGGGAGCGUCAGUGGGCAAACCAUAGAAAUAUAAUGAAUAGAACAGGCGUCCCCAUUCAAGUCAAUUAUGCCCACAGUGGAGGUGUCAUAAUACCCAUAAAACCCAGUGGUCAGACAGGGAAAUGGUUCCAAUCGUUUUAUCCAUCAUUAAUUUUUCCCAUAGGGGAAUUUAGAAAUACUUCAAAUUAGGGCUGUGUUUCUUGUAGGCUUACCCUGGUGUGAUGUUAUGAUAACCAUGUAAAUCUCUCUCGGACAAGGUGACUUAUCAAUAUAUUUGGCUCUAUUUACUCUCAGAUUCAAAAAUGCUAAUUAGCUUCAAAGUAGACAUCACACAAAACUACAAAUCUCUGCAAGCUCCUGCACGUCAUCACUAGCUGACACCUCUGCUAUCAGGUAUUGUGUCAAUUUAAAACUGCCAAAAGGGCAGUGCUGAGGCGUCACUACAGCCUCGGGUUCGAUCCCAGCCGGCUGUGACCGGGAGACACAUGAGGCGGCGCACAAUUGGCCCAAGUUAGGGAAGGGUUUGGCCGGC